GCCCCUCUCUCUCUACAGGAGAAUUUCUCUCUUUCUUUUGCCUCUUAAACCUCCAAGCUUAACCUCACAUUUUGUGUGUCUGCGUCCUUGAUUUCCUUGGUGUGAGGCAAUGAACCUCAGGUAUUACCCCAGACAAGCGAAGCUGCUUCACUUUCAUUGACGGAUGCAGGUCAAGAAAAUUACAUCCCUCCCAGAAUGCGAAGAUAUAAACAUGCUCUAAGGAGGUAUGACAGCUAUGCUCAAGAUUCAGGUGCUCAGAUAAUUAGACGAGUCCCAGUUGACCCACUUGUGGUAUACAAAAGAGAAAUACAUUAUUG